UACGAAGGGGGCUAGCGUUGUUCGGAAUCACUGGGCGUAAAGGGCGCGUAGGCGGCUUUAUAAGUCGGGGGUGAAAGCCUGUGGCUCAACCACAGAAUUGCCUUCGAUACUGUAGAGCUUGAGACCGGAAGAGGUAAGUGGAACUGCGAGUGUAGAGGUGAAAUUCGUAGAUAUUCGCAAGAACACCAGUGGCGAAGGCGGCUUACUGGUCCGGAACUGACGCUGAGGCGCGAAAGCGUGGGGGAGCAAACAGG
rnacentral:rRNA from 1 species